GCAAAUCACUGGGCUUGGAUGCAGACUGGCUAGCGAACUGGGGUGCACUUUUCGCCAGAUCCUUGCUUUUGAAGGAGGGAAGGGGCUGUGUGCAAUGGGAGGAUGAUGAUGAUUAUGAAAUACACGGCAAUGUAUGGAGUAAAAGUGCCUGGGAAGAGCACACUUUGGGUGGUGGUAGAGGCAGAGGCGGCAUGCUAGGAAUGAGUGGGCAGGGGCUGUAAGGCAGAAGAUUGUUGCUUUGAAGAGAGUGGUGUAGGGAUGUGGCUUGAGUGUGAGAUACAGGGAGGAUGGGUGUGAAAUUAUGGUCCAUAUGAUUUUUUUUUAAGCUAGAUGACUCUUGAUUUCUUCAUAAAUCUUUGCCCACCUUUAACCUCUCUUCCAUCAUUGGUAUAUUUGUAGGAGAGAUAAGUUGAUCAAAUGUAUUUGUCCCUGGAUAAAAGGAAUCUGAAAGUAAGACAUAUAGAACCACAGGCAUACAAUCGGCCUUUGGAGGAUUUAAAUGAGGUCAAUGAACCAUCUUUCAGCAAGUUCUUGGAAUGCAUCCUGUUUCCUAGCCUCCUCCAGGAUAUAGACCAGGACCGUAUUUUAUUUAUGCAUAUUUAUGAAUGUAAAAGACGAGAUAGUGGGCAGAAUUUUCCUGAAUUAACUAACCAAACUUGCAGAGCGUGUCUCUCUUGCUUCUUUACUUCUACCUUAGUCAUGAUGAGCGCAUCUUUUAUGCUGAAUGCAGUUCCUGAGAUACAGCUCACUCCUCCCUGUUUUGAUUAA
rnacentral:lncRNA from 1 species